UCUUGCACUGUUUUUCGCGGCUUACACAUCAAACGAUAACGAUAUAUAAACGAUGCGUAAGACGUAGACAGCACAAUUCGAGUUCCGUUGCAGUCAGACUGAGAAAAAUAUAUUCAACAUGAGGUUCGCAAUAUACAUCGUAAUGCUGUUAGUUGCAAUCUGCGCGCUGUUUGCCGAUACCCAUGCACUCCCGAAACACAGACCUCGCUUACCAAGCGGCCCUGGCUAUGGCCCAUUUAAUCCUCGACAAUCUUGGCCAGUGCCAGUACCGUUGCCAAAUUUUGGCCGUUAAUAACCUGGAUGGUAUCGAAGUUUUAACUACUAAAGAUUAUGAUUCUAAAAACAGACUUUGUCCCGCUAUUUCAGAUAUUUUAUUCAUUCCCAGUAAAAAUUGGAAACUAAUAUGUGUUGUAAAACUUUUUCAUAUACAUUUAUAUCUGUACAUUAUAUAAAUAAAAUGUAUUUAUUAUUGUA